rnacentral:rRNA from 1 species
CAGCAGCCGCGGGAAUACGAAGGGUGCAAGCGUUAAUCGGAAUUACUGGGCGUAAAGCGUGCGUAGGCGGUGAGUUAAGUCUGCUGUGAAAUCCCCGGGCUCAACCUGGGAAUGGCAGUGGAUACUGGCUCGCUAGAGUGUGUCAGAGGAUGGUGGAAUUCCCGGUGUAGCGGUGAAAUGCGUAGAGAUCGGGAGGAACAUCAGUGGCGAAGGCGGCCAUCUGGGACAACACUGACGCUGAGGCACGAAAGCGUGGGGAGCAAACAGGAUUAGAUACCCCGGUAGUCCCUGUCUCUUAUAC